CUGCCAUCAGUGAAGCAGUUGAGCUUGAUGGAGAUGGGCAGCGCACCCAGGAAGAAGGCAGAGGACUUAGCCCAAUGUUACCUGCUGUGUAUGUGUUAUCUUCGUCAGACCUGCCCAUCAUGCCUGCUUGACAUUAGAGGAAAUUAAAGAGAUGAGAUCUCACUAUGUUGCCCAGGCUGAUCUCGAACUCCUGGACUCAAGCAACCCUCCUGCCUUGGCCUCCCAAAGUGCUGCAAUGACAGGCAUGAGCCACUGUGCCUGGCCUGGGCCCUUUCCUUAGGCUCCAUGACUGAAUGAAAGAGCAAACAUGAUGAAUUGAACACCUACUAUGUGUUAGGCACUUGCUGAAUUUAGAAAUAAAUAAAUGUCUUGUGUUAAUGCGGUGAUUACUCAGUCACCAGAGAGCAGAUGAUAAUU
rnacentral:lncRNA from 1 species